AAUGCCAUUUGAAAUGAGGUAAUUUUUAAUAUACAUAUAUUUUUUUUUUCCCAAUACAUUUUAACACAAAUUUUGCAGAUAUCGAGGAAAAAAGUCUCCCGAUGCUGUAUUAGCGAAAAUUUGUUGGUGGAGCAAGAACUUGCAUUACGAUGAUGAAGGAGAAGAAAACACAGGAAGUGAACUACAAAAUUUGUCUACUUCAAAUUCUGGUUCUACAGAGCAUCCACCAGAACAGAAAAGACCUCGAACUAUAUAAUGUAGUUCAUUUUUAUAUAAACUAUGUAAAAAAAAUACAAAUUAAAUUUUAAAAAUUAAAUAUAUAUGAAAAAUUUUUACUCAAAAAAGCUGAA